rnacentral:lncRNA from 1 species
GAAGAGCCAACAGAAGCAGCAAGAGAUGGACCUGCCGCCAGUGCCAUUAUGGCAUGUAAAGUCACCACCCUGACACAUGAAUCCUGGAAUAAUUCUGUGAAAGGAGGAAGCCUUAUAGCCAAAUCCUUUCUCUCCAGUGCUCAGGGCUUGAAAGUUUUUCUGCUGUCUUUGGAACUUUGUCUGCAAACAGCUCGAAGGAGACGCGGCCCAAGAGCUUGUCAUCAGCCGUGAUGUCAAAGAACACGGUGGGGUUGACCAUGGCUGCAGCAAGCGACGAAAAGCAACAGUGGUGUCUGCAAAGCCAUGGUUGGCAGUUCUAAGGCUGCCAUGUGCUUGGUCUGUGAUGUACUUGAAAUAUCGUGUGUUCCCUUCGUGCAGCAUUGCUUGACUAGCUUCAUGCUGAUUGUGCCCCAUUGAUAACUUCUUCUCACUCUGUCCUAUUUCCCCUUGCAAACAGUAUACAGGAUGUUGUACUUUUAAUAAACCUGUUUGGCACAAAA